rnacentral:rRNA from 1 species
UACGUAGGGGGGCUAGCGUUGUCCGGAUUUAUUGGGCGUAAAGAGCGUGUAGGCGGCCAGGUAGGUCUGCUGUGAAAACUCGAGGCUCAACCUCGAGAUGUCGGCGGAAACCAUCUGGCUAGAGUCCGGAAGAGGAAAGUGGAAUUCCUGGUGUAGCGGUGAAAUGCGCAGAUAUCAGGAAGAACACCCGUGGCGAAGGCGGCUUUCUGGGACGGUACUGACGCUGGAGACGCGAAAGCGUGGGGAGCGAACAGG